rnacentral:lncRNA from 1 species
AUUGUUUGGUCAAUAGUCGUUUUAGAGAUAUCAGAUUAUUGUACUAUGAUAAGGAGAAUUAACGAGCAUAAAUCUUUCUAUGAAUUUGAAUUGACCUAAGUCAUUAGGAAAUUAUUUUUAUGGAAAAGGGUUCUUAGUCAUUAACACUGGUCUGAACUAUUUAGUUAAUUCAUCGUGACAAUAAGAGUGAAAAGGUAGCUUAGGACCGCAUUUACCAAA